rnacentral:tRNA from 3 species
GGCCCCUUAGCUCAGUUGGUUAGAGCACGCGACUCAUAAUCGCUUGGUCGCUGGUUCAAGCCCAGCAGGGGCCACCA